rnacentral:snoRNA from 1 species
AAGACUAAACAUUCAGGGAUCAUUUCUGGUUUGUUACUACAGAAUUUUCUCUGCUUGUGUAGAGUACUGGAACCUACUACAAGGAGGAGGUGUAAUGUUCUCACCUGAGUGUGAAGCCUGCUCCAGGGGUUGCUUUAUUGCCAUAGCCAUUUGCCAUUGAUGAUCAUCUGUUUUUGGAGGAGUGAGAGGUUGAGGACAGCACCUCAGUGGA